rnacentral:rRNA from 1 species
UUCGUAGGCGGUGCGGCAAGUCGGGAGUGAAAUCUCUGGGCUUAACUCAGGGGCUGCUCCUGAAACUGCCGUGCUCGAGUGCGGGAGAGGCGAGUGGAAUUGCAGGUGUAGCGGUGAAAUGCGUAGAUAUCUGCAGGAACACCCGUGGCGAAGGCGGCUCGCUGGACCGCAACUGACGCUGAGGAACGAAAGCUAGGGGAGCAAACAGGAUUAGAUACCCUGGUAGCCCUAGCCCUAAACCAUCAGGACUUGGGGUGCAUCCCGUUCGGGGUGCGUCCCGGAGCUAACGCGUUAAGUCCUGCGCCUGGGGAGUACGGUCGCAAGGCUGAA